AGAGUUUGAUCAUGGCUCAGGACGAACGCUGGCGGCGUGCUUAACACAUGCAAGUCGAACGGAAAGGCCCUUCGGGGUACUCGAGUGGCGAACGGGUGAGUAACACGUGGGUGAUCUGCCCUGCACUUUGGGAUAAGCCUGGGAAACUGGGUCUAAUACCGAAUAGGACCGCGCGCUUCAUGGUGUGUGGUGGAAAGCUUUUGCGGUGUGGGAUGGGCCCGCGGCCUAUCAGCUUGUUGGUGGGGUAAUGGCCUACCAAGGCGACGACGGGUAGCCGGCCUGAGAGGGUGACCGGCCACACUGGGACUGAGAUACGGCCCAGACUCCUACGGGAGGCAGCAGUGGGGAAUAUUGCACAAUGGGCGCAAGCCUGAUGCAGCGACGCCGCGUGAGGGAUGACGGCCUUCGGGUUGUAAACCUCUUUCAAUAGGGACGAAGCGCAAGUGACGGUACCUAUAGAAGAAGCACCGGCCAACUACGUGCCAGCAGCCGCGGUAAUACGUAGGGUGCGAGCGUUGUCCGGAAUUACUGGGCGUAAAGAGCUCGUAGGUGGUUUGUCGCGUUGUUCGUGAAAACUCACAGCUUAACUGUGGGCGUGCGGGCGAUACGGGCAGACUAGAGUACUGCAGGGGAGACUGGAAUUCCUGGUGUAGCGGUGGAAUGCGCAGAUAUCAGGAGGAACACCGGUGGCGAAGGCGGGUCUCUGGGCAGUAACUGACGCUGAGGAGCGAAAGCGUGGGGAGCGAACAGGAUUAGAUACCCCGGUAGUCCAA
rnacentral:rRNA from 1 species